rnacentral:rRNA from 1 species
UGGGGAAUAUUGCACAAUGGGGGGAACCCUGAUGCAGCGAUGCCGCGUGGAGGAAGAAGGUUUUCGGAUUGUAAACUCCUGUCUUAAAGGACGAUAAUGACAGUACUUUAGGAGGAAGCUCCGGCUAACUACGUGCCAGCAGCCGCGGUAAUACGUAGGGAGCGAGCGUUGUCCGGAAUUACUGGGUGUAAAGGGAGCGUAGGCGGGAUCGCAAGUUAGAUGUGAAAUACAUGGGCUCAACCCAUGGGCUGCAUUUGAAACUGUGGUUCUUGAGUGAAGUAGAGGUAAGCGGAAUUCCUGGUGUAGCGGUGAAAUGCGUAGAUAUCAGGAGGAACACCGGUGGCGAAGGCGGCUUACUGGGCUUUUACUGACGCUGAGGCUCGAAAGCGUGGGGAGCAAACAGG